GACGAACGCUGGCGGCGUGCUUAACACAUGCAAGUCGAACGGAAAGGCCCUGCUUGCAGGGUACUCGAGUGGCGAACGGGUGAGUAACACGUGGGUGAUCUGCCCUGCACUUCGGGAUAAGCCUGGGAAACUGGGUCUAAUACCGGAUAGGAGCCAUUUUUAGUGUGAUGGUUGGAAAGUUUUUUCGGUGUAGGAUGAGCUCGCGGCCUAUCAGCUUGUUGGUGGGGUAAUGGCCUACCAAGGCGGCGACGGGUAGCCGGCCUGAGAGGGUGGACGGCCACAUUGGGACUGAGAUACGGCCCAGACUCCUACGGGAGGCAGCAGUGGGGAAUAUUGCACAAUGGGCGCAAGCCUGAUGCAGCGACGCCGCGUGGGGGAUGACGGCCUUCGGGUUGUAAACUCCUUUCGCUAGGGACGAAGCUUUUUGUGACGGUACCUUGAGAAGAAGCACCGGCUAACUACGUG
rnacentral:rRNA from 1 species